CAUCAUAGUCCAGUGUCCAGGG
rnacentral:miRNA from 1 species